UGUGCUUAUGUCCCUGGAAUGGGGAUUUUUUCUAUUAGAGCCCUUGUGGAGCAGUCUGCGUCUGGAGGGGUUUGUGUUCUCUCCCCGCAAGGGUAUAAAACAAGAGGAUUGCACAGUUCAAGGACCCAGAGGUGGCGUGAUGCAGGGCUAUCUGGCUGAGUCUGCAGGCAGCCUGGGACACUAGCUCCAAGAGACAGGUGGAAAGAAGAAAAUCCUGAGAUUUUACAGACCAGUUCAAUGUGGGUCCCCACACAGCAAGCACUGACCGUGGGACCCAACGGGCAAACAGUUUCUAUGCAGUACAGAAACUAUUACUGAAGACAAUUUCCCUGUACAGAGAUGUUAUAUUAUAGCAGAGCCAUCCCCCGAGAAGCAUCACGAAUCUCAGCAAGGAACAAACGUCCAGCUGUAUGAAAUAUAUUCCCUUAGUUGCUGUGCUCAGGACUUACUCUAGUGGCUAGCUCCUGCAACAGUAACAGUCUGCUCUCCCUCCCCAAGAAGAGUCACACCUACAAAAGUGGCAGGAGUUGGUACUUUGGUGUUGGACACCCCUGGUUCAAACUCCUCCCCCCAUGAUGGUGUCUGUGUAUAUGAAGCUGUAAGCGUGCAACAUGUGGAUGAUGUCUAUAUUAAUAAAAUAGCUUUAUGCCCAUUAUGUCUCCUGAAAUCCAAUAAGCCAAAUAUGCCCUUAGUUAACUGUAUUUGCUUUAAUCAGAUCAGAAUACCAAGAAAAAGAAAGUACCCAUGCAUCAAGUUAGCACAGAGAGUGG